rfam:Nicotiana attenuata strain TT chromosome 12, whole genome shotgun sequence.
GCAAGCCGUAUGCUUUGGAAGAAGCUUGUACAGUUUGGGAAAGGGUUUUGAUUAAUCACAAGAAUAAUCUACUUCAAC